GUGGGUAUAGCUCAGUGGUAGAGCACAUGCUUAGCGUGCACAAGGUCCUGGGUUCAAUCCCCACCACCUCCA
rnacentral:tRNA from 1 species